UACGUAGGGUGCAAGCGUUGUCCGGAAUUAUUGGGCGUAAAGAGCUCGUAGGCGGUCUGUCGCGUCGGCUGUGAAAACCCGGGGCUCAACCCCGGGCCUGCAGUCGAUACGGGCAGACUAGAGUUCGGCAGGGGAGACUGGAAUUCCUGGUGUAACGGUGAAAUGCGCAGAUAUCAGGAGGAACACCGGUGGCGAAGGCGGGUCUCUGGGCCGAUACUGACGCUGAGGAGCGAAAGCGUGGGGAGCGAACAGG
rnacentral:rRNA from 1 species